rnacentral:rRNA from 1 species
AACGUAGGAGACAAACGUUAUCCGGAGUUACUGGGCGUAAAGGGCGUGUAGGUGGUUUCGUAAGUCUGGCGUGAAAUUUUUCGGCUUAACCGGGAAAGGUCGUCGGAUACUGCGGAGCUAGAGGACGGUAGAGGGUAGUGGAAUUCCCGGUGUAGCGGUGAAAUGCGUAGAGAUCGGGAGGAACACCAGUGGCGAAGGCGGCUACCUGGACCAGCACUGACACUGAGGCACGAAAGCGUGGGGAGCAAACAGG